AAAAAUUAAAUAAAAGAAUAGGAAAUGUUGGAUAUUUUACAAUUUGCUUUCUAAGUUUGUCAAAAACAGGCGGGUCCCUUUCUUUCUGCUCUUAUUCUAUCCCCCUCUCCCUCUUAAAGAACUACAACAAUGGCAUAAUGCUCAAAUGAAUCCAUCACUGCCACCACCACAAAAAUCAAUAAAUUCUAAUCUCAUAUCAAAAUUAAUAAAGCAUGAUAAUUUCAAAAUUAACCAACCUUAAAUCAAAAAAUCCAAAAUCAACAAAUCAUAUUAGUUUCAAAAUUAAAAACUCUGAAAUAUCACCAAACAAAUCCUUAAAAUCAAAGUUUCCAAAACCCAUUAAACACCAAAAAAUUUCUCAAGUAACCCAACAACACAAUAUUUUUAGCAUCAUUACCUCUCUACACCAAAAGGAGAAGCUUAAAACAAUUAUCAUAUCUAAAUUGAGCACAACUGGCAUAAACACAAUCAAAUAGCUAGACAAAUAUUGUAG
rnacentral:misc_RNA from 1 species